CAGAAUCUGUUUGAGUGCGACAUUCAAGAAGAGAGAAAUGUCUCCAUCCAAGUUUGAACAUGAGCGAGUCUUGAUGCUGGGACGACUCUUCGGCCUCUUUCUCGGAAGCCAAAUCAGCCUCGAGUUAUCGUAAUUCUAAUUUUUGAAACGUGCAUUGCUUUUCUGUGUUUUCAUGCUUUUUAGCUUCCGAAAGUAAUUUUUGCAGGCGAAUACAGCACAGCGAUAGGCGGUUGGACCUUGAUUCAUGUGAUGUUGCGUCUUGACACUUCUGGCAUUGGACAGGUUUUAAACACUUCGUUCCCUUCAACUAUUAAGUGGCUCGAAAAGCUUGCAUCGAGAGCCCUAGCAUCAUCCAUGGACGCAACUGCUCUUGGCUUAUACCAAACCCAACUAGAUUCCCGAGUUAGUCUGAAAGUUCAUUAGCAAUGCAUUAUGAAUACUAUAAUUUAUAUCGCAUUUCAAUUACCACAUUUGUUUUUUUCCUUGAAAAUGGUUCCAAGAGGUCGCUCUUAGGCCCAACACCAUGCCUUAAAGGGGGAAGAUUUUGCCAUUGCACAGAGAAAUAAACCUGCAUCCAAUGCCAAACAUUGAAAAUCUCAUGAUGCUGCUCUCAUUUAUUUAGAUGUUUAUGUGCGAGAGCUGCUUAUAAUGCAGAGUUAAAAGGCGCCAAGUGGAAACGACCAAGGUCAAAUGGGUGCCUACUAGGACCGAGUCAGCAAGACUAUCUUCUCAUAUCCUUAGACCCAGUUGUCGGAUAACACCUCUUAUUUCUUUGGUUCUUGCAGGCUGUGGGCUGUCUUUGCAUACCCUUGCACCCAGUUUUUUUUAUAAUAGUGCUUGCUUUUUCUUUGGUUUUUACACGCUGUGACACAAUUGAUACCCAGAAGUGAUAAGAGGGAAAUAUGUGAAAGCGCAGGCUUUUCAUUUAUUUGUCUUGAGCAAGGACCUUUUUUGCAUUGUUUAAUUUUUUGUUGUGACGUGGUAUAAACAUGUCCCCCCUUCCCUCCUUUACGGCAGAUGUCUUUUUGUAUGUUUGUAUGCGUGCUUUUUUGCAAUUGUUUGUAUCGACAGAGGAGUGAUGGGAAUUGUUGUUCGAAUAAACCUUUUUGGAGUUU